GGAUCAUUACUGAGUUUACGCUCUAUAACCCUUUGUGAACAUACCUAUAACUGUUGCUUCGGCGGGUAGGGUCUCCGUGACCCUCCCGGCCUCCCGCCCCCGGGCGGGUCGGCGCCCGCCGGAGGAUAACCAAACUCUGAUUUAACGACGUUUCUUCUGAGUGGUACAAGCAAAUAAUCAAAACUUUUAACAACGGAUCUCUUGGUUCUGGCAUCGAUGAAGAACGCAGCGAAAUGCGAUAAGUAAUGUGAAUUGCAGAAUUCAGUGAAUCAUCGAAUCUUUGAACGCACAUUGCGCCCGCCAGCAUUCUGGCGGGCAUGCCUGUUCGAGCGUCAUUUCAACCCUCAAGCUCUGCUUGGUGUUGGGGCCCUACAGCUGAUGUAGGCCCUCAAAGGUAGUGGCGGACCCUCCCGGAGCCUCCUUUGCGUAGUAACUUUACGUCUCGCACUGGGAUCCGGAGGGACUCUUGCCGUAAAACCCCCAAUUUUCCAAAGGUUGACCUCGGAUCAGGUAGGAAUACCCGCUGAACUUAAGCAUAUCAAUAAGCGG
rnacentral:rRNA from 1 species